rnacentral:rRNA from 1 species
UACGUAGGUGGCAAGCGUUGUCCGGAUUUACUGGGCGUAAAGGGAGCGUAGGCGGAUACUUAAGUGGGAUGUGAAAUACCUGGGCUUAACUUGGGUGCUGCAUUCCAAACUGGGUGUCUAGAGUGUUGGAGAGGAAAGUGGAAUUCCUAGUGUAGCGGUGAAAUGCGUAGAGAUUAGGAAGAACACCAGUGGCGAAGGCGACUUUCUGGACAAUAACUGACGCUGAGGCUCGAAAGCGUGGGGAGCAAACAGGAUUAGAUACCCUGGUAGUCCACGCCGUAAACGAUGGGCACUAGGUGUAGGAGGUAUCGACUCCUCUUGUGCCGCCGUUAACACAAUAAGUACCCCGCCUGGGGAGUACGGUCGCAAGAUUAAA